GCACCCGUAGUUCAACGGACAGAAUGUGGGUUUCCGGAACCUAAGAUGGAAGUUCAAUUCUCCCCGGGUGCA
rnacentral:tRNA from 1 species